rnacentral:rRNA from 1 species
AUACGAAGGGGGCUAGCGUUGCUCGGAAUGACUGGGCGUAAAGGGCGUGUAGGCGGUUUACACAGUCAGAUGUGAAAUCCCCGGGCUUAACCUGGGAGCUGCAUUUGAUACGUGUAGACUAGAGUGUGAGAGAGGGUUGUGGAACUUCCCAGUGUAGAGGUGAAAUUCGUAGAUAUUGGGAAGAACACCGGUGGCGAAGGCGGCAACCUGGCUCAUGACUGACGCUGAGGCGACGAAAGCGUGGGGAGC